rnacentral:rRNA from 1 species
UACGUAGGGUCCGAGCGUUGUCCGGAAUUAUUGGGCGUAAAGGGCUCGUAGGCGGUUUGUCGCGUCGGGAGUGAAAACACGGGGCUUAACCCCGUGCCUGCUUCCGAUACGGGCAGACUAGAGGUAUGCAGGGGAGAACGGAAUUCCUGGUGUAGCGGUGAAAUGCGCAGAUAUCAGGAGGAACACCAGUGGCGAAGGCGGUGCUCUGGGCCGGAACUGACGCUGAGGAGCGAAAGCGUGGGUAGCAAACAGG